UUUUGAACAAUAGAAUUUCUGGUAUUCUGAGCUGGGCAAUCUAGUAUUCUCGCUAAGAAAAAAGCUGGCAACACUGCUCCGAGACUCCAGUUCAGUCCAGUGACCAGUCCAGUGCUGAAGCCAAUCUAUACACACACACUGACUCUGAGUCUCUGACUCUGAGACACCAACCAAACUGUCCAACACUCCUCCCUGGCGCUGGCCGCUCCCUCAUUGCUGACCGGCGACCCAGAAACUUCAGUUUUGAAAUCAUGGCCACUGCAGAGCACGCAGUCGAGAGCAUCAACAGAAACGUGGAAUGCAUUUCAUUCUACAUUUCCCAGAAAGACCAUUUUGACCAGUAUUAUGUCACUGCAUGGUUUCGCCGCCUUGAGGCACGAUUUAUUUUGGCUAAAGUGGAUGACUCCAUUAAAAAAUUCCACUAUCUUGUUUGGGCACUACCACGAAAGGUUUUAAAUGGAAUUCCUAUAGCUAUUUUAAAGUCCAAAGACUAUGACAGAUUGAAAUCUGAACUCAUAGCAUCAUAUCCUAGGCUCAGGAAAUUGACCUAUUAACCCCAUAGCUCCUUCAUUAGGCUUAGACGAUGAAUUUACUAAGGAAAAGUCCAGGGAAGCCUUGUUUGGCAAAAUCCGUUUAUUGCUUUUUGCCUACAAAGGUGAUUUGCUUGAUGAAAUGGCUGCAAUUGCCAAUACCUUGUCCUCAUCUAGAUUAGAGGAACCUGAUGCUCAUCAGAUUGCUAACAAUAAUGGAAUGGCAUUGGAACGAGUGGUUGUGCAACACCAUUGGAAACAAGGCAUUGUUGGAACGAAUGAUUGUGCUUCUGUUGGCCCUGUCAGUGGUACUACCGGCACUGUGUUUGCUACUAUUGAUUAUUCAAGUGAGGCUCUGCCUAUAGGUCUUCGUCCAUUUCAUGCCAAUCAACUUCCAAAAGUUUGUCGAUAUCACAUUUUUUUGGCGAUAAAGGCAAGUUAUGUAAACCAUGGUGUAUGGUUGCAAAUUUUGCAAAUUUGAAUUCUUCCGCAAAAAUUCUACCUAGUUCACGGCCGUCUUCUCGCUCAAGCUCUCCCUCUUCUUGCUCAAGCUCUCGCCGACAUUAUUUUAAUUCGGCGUCCCGUUAAUAUUGUUCUCAUUAAUCCCAUAUGGGUGAUUCAUUGUGCCACCUGACAACUGUUAAUUGGUUAUGCUAUUCGGCAUAGAAGCGCUCUUUAGUGACAUGCAGCUACAUUAAUUUUAUCCUAUUGCCGCUAAGAUAGGAUUUGACCUAAGAUGGUAGAAUGUAAGAAGUGUUUCAUGGACAAAUGACAGACUGAAACAUCAUGUAUCAACAUAGAGGUUACUAUCACAUCGAAUAGUACUGUAGUUGUUAGCAAAUAUUAGAUAACUAAUGAUGAAAAUGAUUAGACAUGCUGAAUCUUGAAGCUAUGAGGAUCCAUUUUAGUUUCUAUAUAAGGAUAUGUCGUAAUAUUAAGAGUAUAAUUACUUAAGUGUAACGUGUCAGAAAAUUAAAUUUUCAUUAGCUGUGCAAAUUUCUGUAUAACUUUCAUUGAGUGUAAUUUUUUGAAAGCUCUAAAAAUGAAGGCAUUGCCGUGAGCCACCAGUCGAAUUCUUCAGUUGCCCCCUGGUGGUGAAACUCAGCCAUAGUGUGCAAAAGUUGCACUCAUCCUUAGGACCUAUAAGCCAAGUAUAAACCUGCCGUGUUCCGCGCUGGACUGACCUAAUCGUGUUAUAUUUCUCAAGCAUAAAACCAUCUGGCUUAACCUGU